rnacentral:rRNA from 1 species
GACGAACGCUGGCGGCGUGCUUAACACAUGCAAGUCGAACGGUGAAGGGGUCUGCUUUUGUGGGCCCUGGAUGAGUGGCGAACGGGUGAGUAACACGUGAGUAACCUGCCCCCUUCUUCUGGAUAACCGCAUGAAAGUGUGGCUAAUACGGGAUAUUCUGGGUCUGUCGCAUGAUGGGUCUGGGAAAGAUUGCGCCUUUGGGUGUUUUUGGUGGGGGAUGGGCUCGCGGCCUAUGAGCUUGUUGGUGGGGUGAUGGCCUACCAAGGCGGUGACGGGUAGCCGGCGUGAGAGGGUGGACGGUCACACUGGGACUGGGACACGGCCCAGACUCCUACGGGAGGCAGCAGUGGGGAAUAUUGCACAAUGGGCGCAAGCCUGAUGCAGCGACGCCGCGUGAGGGAUGGAGGCCUUCGGGUUGUAAACCUCUUUCGCCAGUGAAGCAGGCCUGCUCCUUGUGGGUGGGUUGACGGUAGCUGGAUAAGAAGCGCCGGCUAACUACGUG